rnacentral:sRNA from 1 species
AGUUCGACGGGAUCCACCCCACGGGUCACGGUGAGGUAGUCGCGCAGCACGAUCGAGUGCCGUGCCUC